rnacentral:misc_RNA from 1 species
AUCAUUCCAAACAUCAUCCAAAACGAUCAAAACCUUUCUCCCCAUCAAUGUCAUGCCGAGCUCGAGUUGCAGCAGAUUUGGAGUCUUGUCAUCACAAGACAAUUCAGUAACCUCCUUGGCAAUACAUUUAGACACCUCCUUAAGAAUAUCCUUUGUUACCUUAAAAACAUCGAAAUCCUCAGAAACACAGACCCAUGCUUCUAGAUCAAAGCGCUCCUGUACUCUGCUAUCACUAUAGACCAGCUGGGCAAGGGUUGUUUUACCAACCCCAACCAUA